rnacentral:lncRNA from 1 species
CCCGUCUCUACUAAAAAUACAAAAAAUUAGCCGCACGCGGUGGUGGGCGCCUGUAGUCCCAGCUACUUGGGAGGCUGAGGCAGGAGAAUGGUGUGAACCCGGGAGGUGGAGUUUGCAGUGAGCCGAGAUCGCGCCACUGCACUCAAGCCUGGGAGACAGAGCAAGACUCCGUCUCAAAAAAAAAAAAAAAAGAAAAAGAAAAACUUUUCACCCUUUAGAUGAACUUUUAGAUGCUGUCCAGCUCCACCCUUUCACCUUGGCUGAAAAACAAAGGGUAGCUUUGGGCAUCCUAAACCAGAGGCUCAGGAAUGACCCUAUACCAGUGGCUUACUUUUCUAAACUAGACCAGGUGGUGGCUGAGUGGCCAGGAUACUUGCGAGCUGUAGUCGCCACCACUCUAUUGACAGAAGCCAGUAAGUUUACCUUGGGACAACCAUCAGAUGUCGUGAUCCCCCCCAUGAAGUAUAGAGAGUCCUAGAGGCAAAGGGACACCAAUAGCUAACGAGGGGCUUGUUACUGAAAUAUCAGACCCUUCUGCAUGACACCCCAGAUGUUACCCUUAAAGUAUGUCGAGUUUUAAACUCUUCUCCCUUGUUGCUGGACUUCGUGUCCCAGGAAACAGAUCCCCAACUCAUUCACUCCUGUGUGGAAACCAUAGAACAGACCUCCUCUAGCAGGCCUGACCUCAAAGAUGAGCCCUUGAGCCCCUGCAUAACCCCGAUGUUGAGUGGCUCAGAGAUGAAAGUGGUUUUAUUCAUAAGGGAGAAAGAAAGAUCGGUUAUGCAGUAGUUAGCCGAGAAGAAGGCAUUGAGGCCAAAGCUUGACCUCCCCAGACAUCUGCUCAAAAAGUGGAAUUAAUUGGUCUAAUCAGGGUCCUCCAACUGAGAAAAGACUUAAGAGUCAACAUAUUUACCGAUUCCAAAUAUGGGUGCCUGGUGCUCCACGCUCAUGACGCCAUAUGGAAAGAAAAGGGAGCGCUAACAGCUAAGGAAUCCCCCACACAGCAUUGCUCUGAGAUCUUGGAAUUGUAGAUGCUGUCCAGCUCCCAAAGGAGGUGGCAGUUACUCACUGCAGGGGACACCAAAAGGGGGACACCUCUAUCAUCCCGGAGGAAAUGCCCUGAUGGACAGGACAGCCAAGGCCACAGGUGAAGAACACCAGUGCUCCAGGCCACGGACUAAUGCCAGAUUGCAACACUUCUACAUCAAGAAAAUGUGGCAAUAAGGCUGCCAAACCCUCCUGUCUUCUGAACCGAAUCCUUGUAGAUUCUGGAUAUCGCACCUUCAUAGGAAUAUUCUGAGAAUAUUUUCUCCUAUUCGCUUCCAGGAGCCGUCGUAGCAGCCGAUUAGGACUGGCUGCUGGUGUGGUGAUGACCUAGAGGGCUUCUCCCAGAGUCUCGCUCUGUGGCCCACGCCUGAGUUCAGUGGUGUGAUUUCCGCUCCCUCCAACCUCUGCCUCCUGGGUUCAAGCGAUUCUCCUGCCUCAGCCUCCUGAGUAGCUGGGAUGACAGGCAUGAACCACCACGCCCCACUGUUUUCGUAUUUUUAGUAGAAACGGGGUUUCACUAUGAUGGCCAGGCUGUGAAUUGCCUAUUCUUAUCUUCUGCACAUUUGUCUAUUGUCGGUCUUUUUCUCGUCGAUUUACAAGCAUUCCUUUUUUCAUUCUGAAUAUUAAUCCAUUGCUUUCUGAUGCUGUAACUAAGUCCUCCUAGUGGUUUGUCUUCUUGGUUAAGCCAGAUGUUAACUUGGAUUUUUCCUGCAUAAAACUGAAGACUCAAGAUGCAUCAAGCACUGUAUACAGAAAAGUGCUGCGUAUCCUACAGAAAGCUACAGACAGUUGGGGGUCAGAAUCAUUCGGAUUGUUUCAAGUUUGGGGCUAUUAUAAAUAAAGCUGCUAUAAACGUUUGCA